UGCCAGAGAUCUUAACUUUGGGAGUUUGAAUUCGGUGCUGCUGCUUUCUUCAUCUGAUCUUCUUCCACCUAUUAUCUCCUCCAUUUUCUCACAUCCUCUAACUGUAAUCUUUUCUAGGUUUACGAGGGAAAUCCAAGAAGAUGGAACCAAGAUCUCCAUGCUGUUGCAAUUCCAUACUUCAAUUUGUUGGAGAGAAUCGCAAGUCAGCUUUGCACUACAAAUGCUUUUCAGUUCUGGUAAAUUAAACAAUGCCAGAGAUCUUAACUUUGGGAGUUUGAAUUCGGUGCUGCUGCUUUCUUCAUCUGAUCUUCUUCCACCUAUUAUCUCCUCCAUUUUCUCACAUCCUCUAACUGUAAUCUUUUCUAGGUUUACGAGGGAAAUCCAAGAAGAUGGAACCAAGAUCUCCAUGCUGUUGCAAUUCCAUACUUCAAUUUUUUGGAGAGAAUCGCACGUCAGCUUUGCACUACAAAUGUUUUU
rnacentral:lncRNA from 1 species